UACUAUGAUGAGCAAUUUGUGUCGCCCCUAUCCGAAAUCUGUGACGAUUGACCCGGAAGCCAAAUCCGAUCUCUGA
rnacentral:snoRNA from 1 species